GACGAACGCUGGCGGCGUGCCUAACACAUGCAAGUCGAGCGAGUUGAUUCUCUUCGGAGAUGAAGCUAGCGGCGGACGGGUGAGUAACACGUGGGCAACCUGCCUCAUAGAGGGGAAUAGCCUCCCGAAAGGGAGAUUAAUACCGCAUAACAUUGUAGCUUCGCAUGAAGUAGCAAUUAAAGGAGCAAUCCGCUAUGAGAUGGGCCCGCGGCGCAUUAGCUAGUUGGUGAGGUAACGGCUCACCAAGGCGACGAUGCGUAGCCGACCUGAGAGGGUGAUCGGCCACAUUGGGACUGAGACACGGCCCAGACUCCUACGGGAGGCAGCAGUGGGGAAUAUUGCACAAUGGGGGAAACCCUGAUGCAGCAACGCCGCGUGAGUGAUGACGGCCUUCGGGUUGUAAAGCUCUGUCUUCAGGGACGAUAAUGACGGUACCUGGAUAAGAAGCCCCGGCUAACUUCGUGCCAGCCGCCGCAGUAAAAC
rnacentral:rRNA from 1 species